rnacentral:rRNA from 1 species
UACGUAGGGGGCAAGCGUUGUCCGGAUUUAUUGGGCGUAAAGAGCGUGUAGGCGGCUAGAUAGGUCCGUUGUGAAAACUCGAGGCUCAACCUCGAGACGUCGAUGGAAACCAUCUGGCUAGAGUCCGGAAGAGGAGAGUGGAAUUCCAGGUGUAGCGGUGAAAUGCGCAGAUAUCUGGAGGAACACCGGUGGCGAAGGCGGCGUCCUGGACCAACACUGACACUGAGGAGCGAAAGCCAGGGGAGCAAACGGG